UACGGGGGGGGCAAGCGUUGUUCGGAAUUACUGGGCGUAAAGGGCUUGUAGGUGGCCAACUAAGUCACACGUGAAAUCCCUCGGCUUAACCGAGGAACUGCGUGUGAUACUGGUUGGCUUGAGUUUGGGAGAGGGACGCGGAAUUCCAGGUGUAGCGGUGAAAUGCGUAGAUAUCUGGAGGAACACCGGUGGCGAAGGCGGCGUCCUGGACCAACACUGACACUGAAAAGCGAAAGCCAGGGGAGCAAACGGG
rnacentral:rRNA from 1 species